rnacentral:rRNA from 1 species
CGUCCGCCCGACCGUCCAGUCGCCUGGCCCCGUCCGAUGUCGGCGGCUGCCUGCCGCGGUUCGCGCCGUGUCGCAGUGUCAGUAYCGUCGUUCACGGCACGGGGUGGCGGCCAUCGCGGCGGCGGAGGACUGCACUUCCUCCCUAGUAGGAACGUCGCGACCCGUCGAGGGUUGGUCUAAGGCUUGGGGGAUCGAACGCUCGCGUUUGUGGGACGGGUUUCUCGUUUCCGGCGCGAAUCUUCAAUGCCCGGCCGGCCGUUAGACGGUAUAACGGCGGAGCAGGCUCGCUCGACUCAGAGCGUCCGGCCCGGUGUCGGCGUGGUCGUCCGUCGGUGGCUCGUGUCGAAAGCACGACCCUGGCGCCGUGCCGCGUUCGACUGCAACCGGUGUCCCCGGACAGUCGUCGGCCUUGUCUCCCGUCAGCGACGCCGCAGAUUGGGGCACUCUCCCGACCCGUCUUGAAACACGGACCAAGGAGUCUAACAUGUGCGCGAGUCAUUGGGUUCGGCAACGAAACCCAGAGGCGCAGUGAAAGUGAAGGCAGCUCUAGGGCAGCCGAGGGAGGAUGGUUCCGGCAUUGUUCGGGGUCCGCACUCCCGGGGCGUCUCACCCUCAAUGCGAGGAGAGACGCACCUAGAGCGUACACGUUGGGACCCGAAAGAUGGUGAACUAUGCCUGGCCAGGACGAAGUCAGGGGAAACCCUGAUGGAGGUCCGUAGCGAUUCUGACGUGCAAAUCGAUCGUCAGAGCUGGGUAUAGGGGCGAAAGACUAAUCRAAGCAUCUAGUAGCUGGUUCCCUCCGAAGUUUCCCUCAGGAUAGCUGGUACUCGGAGGCAAGAGUCUCAUAUGGUAAAGCGAAUGAUUAGAGGCCUUGGGGCCGAAACGACCUCAACCUAUUCUCAAACUUUAAAUGGGUGAGAUCUCCGGCUUGCUCAACAUGAAGCCGGAGGUGGAUCAGAGUGCCAAGUGGGCCACUUUUGGUAAGCAGAACUGGCGCUGUGGGAUGAACCAAACGCAGAGUUAAGGCGCCCAAAUCGACGCUCAUGGGAAACCAUGAAAGGUGUUGGUUGCUUAAGACAGCAGGACGGUGGCCAUGGAAGUCGGAAUCCGCUAAGGAGUGUGUAACAACUCACCUGCCGAAGCAACUAGCCCUGAAAAUGGAUGGCGCUGAAGCGUCGUGCCUAUACUCUGCCGUCGGCGGCAGGAGGGCGCCCCCGCAAGGGGGUCCCGACUAGGCCCCGACGAGUAGGAGGGUCGCGGCGGUGAGCGCAGAAGGGUCUGGGCGUGAGCCUGCCUGGAGCCACCGCCGGUGCAGAUCUUGGUGGUAGUAGCAAAUACUCCAGCGAGGACCUGGAGGACUGACGCGGAGAAGGGUUUCGUGUGAACAGCCGUUGCACACGAGUCAGUCGAUCCUAAGCCCUAGGAGAAAUCCUAUGUAGAUGGUUCGGUGUUCUUGAAAGCAUGACCGACCGUCGGGCGAAAGGGAAUCCGGUUCCUAUUCCGGAACCCGGCAGCGGAACCGUUCCAAUUCGGGCCCUCGUAAGAGGACUCGUCGGGGUAACCCAACAGGACCCGGAGACGCCGUCGGGAGAUCGGGGAAGAGUUUUCUUUUCUGCAUGAGCGUUCGAGUUCCCUGGAAUCCUCUAGCAGGGAGAUAGGGUUUGGAACGCGAAGAGCACCGCAGUUGCGGCGGUGUCCCGAUCUUCCCCUCGGACCUUGAAAAUCCGGGAGAGGGCCACGUGGAGCUUUCGCGCCGGCUCGUAC